rnacentral:rRNA from 1 species
AGAGUUUGAUCCUGGCUCAGAACGAACGCUGGCGGCGUGCCUAAUACAUGCAAGUCGAACGAGAAAGUGUAGCAAUACAUUAGUAAAGUGGCAGACGGGUGAGUAAUACAUAGAUAAUUUUCCCUUGAGGUAGGAAUAACCUUCCGAAAGGAGGGCUAAUACCAAAUAUGACCACAGCAACCACGGUUGCAGGGGUGAAAGGUGGCCUCUACUUGUAAGCUAUCGCUCAAGGAUAAGUCUAUGCACCAUUAGCUAGUUGGUAAGGUAAUGGCUUACCAAGGCUUUGAUGGUUAACUGAUCUGAGAGGUUGAUCAGUCACACUGGAACUGAGACACGGUCCAGACUCCUACGGGAGGCAGCAGUAGGGAAUAUUGCGCAAUGGAGGAAACUCUGACGCAGCGACGCCGCGUGGGUGAUGAAGGCCUUCGGGUUGUAAAGCCCUGUCGGGGGGGACGAAACACGAUAUAGCUAAUAUCUAUAUCGCUUGACGAUACCCCUAAAGGAAGCACCGGCUAACUACGUGCCAGCAGCCGCGGUAAUACGUAGGGUGCUAGCGUUGUUCGGAAUCAUUGGGCGUAAAGCGCGUGCAGGUGGCAAGUUAAGUUGGAUGUGAAAUCCCUAGGCUCAACCAAGGAAGUGCAUUCGAAACUGACUAGCUUGAAGAUGGUAGAGGAAGGCGGAAUUCCAGGUGGAGAGGUGAAAUUCGUAGAGAUCUGGAGGAAUAUCGGAGGCGAAGGCGACCUUCUGGGCCAUUCUUGACACUGAGACGCGAAAGCGUGGGUAGCAAACAGGAUUAGAUACCCUGGUAGUCCACGCCGUAAACGAUGGGUACUAGAUGUUGCGGGAAUUGACCCCUGCAGUGUCGACGCUAACGCAUUAAGUACCCCGCCUGGGAAGUACGGUCGCAAGAUUAAAACUCAAAGGAAUUGACGGGGGCCCGCACAAGCGGUGGAGCAUGUGGUUUAAUUCGAUGCAACGCGAAGAACCUUACCUGGGUUUGACAUCCACUGACCGCUGUAGAGAUACAGUUUUCCCUUCGGGGACAGUGAGACAGGUGCUGCAUGGCUGUCGUCGGCUCGUAUCGUGAGAUGUCGGGUUAAGUCCCUUAACGAGCUCAACCCUUAUCCUUAGUUGCCAUCAUUUAGUUGGGCACUCUAGGGAGACCGCCGGUGUUAAACCGGAGGAAGGUGGGGAUGACGUCAAGUCCUCAUGGCCUUUAUAUCCAGGGCUACACACGUGCUACAAUGGUCGGUACAGAGGGAAGCCAAAGCGUGAGCUGGAGCUAAUCUCAGAAAGCCGAUCUCAGUUCGGAUUGAAGUCUGCAACUCGACUUCAUGAAGCUGGAAUCGCUAGUAAUCGCGGAUCAGAACGCCGCGGUGAAUACGUUCCCGGGCCUUGUACACACCGCCCGUCACACCACGAAAGUUGAUUGCACCAGAAGUCGCCAAAAGCGCCCAAGGUGCGGUUGAUGAUUGGGGUGAAGUCGUAACAAGGUAGCCGUACUAGUACGUGA